UACGUAGGCAGCGAGCGUUGUUCGGAUUCAUUGGGCGUAAAGGGUGCGUAGGCGGCGCGGUAAGUCGGGUGUGAAAUCUCGGGGCUUAACUCCGAAACUGCAUUCGAUACUGCCGUGCUUGAGGACUGGAGAGGAGACUGGAAUUUACGGUGUAGCGGUGAAAUGCGUAGAUAUCAGGUGGAACACCAGUGGCGAAGGCGAGUCUCUGGACAUUUCCUGACGCUGAGGCACGAAAGCCAGGGGAGCAAACGGG
rnacentral:rRNA from 1 species